UCCCUAGUGGCUCAGAUGGUAAAGCGUCUGUCUGAAAUGCAGAAGACCUGAGUUCAAUCCCUGGGUUGGGAA
rnacentral:tRNA from 1 species